rnacentral:misc_RNA from 1 species
GAUGAAGAACGCAGCGAAAUGCGAUAAGUAGUGUGAAUUGCAGAAUUCAGUGAAUCAUCGAAUCUUUGAACGCACAUUGCGCCCCUUGGUAUUCCAUGGGGCUUGCCUGUUCGAGCGUCAUUUGUACCUUCAAGCUUUGCUUGGUGUUGGGUGUUUGUCUCGCCUUUGCGUGUAGACUCGCCUUAAAAUAAUUGGCAGCCGGCGUAUUGAUUUCGGAGCGCAGUACAUCUCGCGCUUUGCACUCAUAACGACAGCGUCCAAAAGUACAUUUUACACUCUUGACCUCGGAUCAGGUAGGGAUACCCGCUGAACUUAAGCAUAUCAAUAAGCGGAGGA